AACGAACGCUGGCGGCAGGCUUAACACAUGCAAGUCGAGCGCCCCGCAAGGGGAGCGGCAGACGGGUGAGUAACGCGUGGGAAUCUACCUUUUGCUACGGAACAACAGUUGGAAACGACUGCUAAUACCGUAUGUGCCCUUCGGGGGAAAGAUUUAUCGGCAAAGGAUGAGCCCGCGUUGGAUUAGCUAGUUGGUGAGGUAAAGGCUCACCAAGGCGACGAUCCAUAGCUGGUCUGAGAGGAUGAUCAGCCACACUGGGACUGAGACACGGCCCAGACUCCUACGGGAGGCAGCAGUGGGGAAUAUUGGACAAUGGGCGCAAGCCUGAUCCAGCCAUGCCGCGUGAGUGAUGAAGGCCCUAGGGUUGUAAAGCUCUUUCACCGGUGAAGAUAAUGACGGUAACCGGAGAAGAAGCCCCGGCUAACUUCGUGCCAGCCGCCGCCGUAACAC
rnacentral:rRNA from 1 species